rnacentral:rRNA from 1 species
GACAGAGGUGCCAAGCGUUAGGCGGAAUCACUGGGCUUAAAGCGUGUGUAGGCGGAUCGUUAAGUACCUUGUGAAAUCCCACGGCUCAACCGUGGAACUGCUGGGUAUACUGGCGAUCUUGAGCCACCUAGGGGCGAGCGGAACAAACGGUGGAGCGGUGAAAUGCGUAGAUAUCGUUUGGAACGCCAACGGUGAAAACAGCUCGCUGGGGGUGUGCUGACGCUGACACACGAAAGCCAGGGGAGCGAACGGG